ensembl:lncRNA
AACUACAGAAACAUUUCAGUUCGUCUCCAGGAGGCAUUACGGCUUCCCCUUCAGUCUCACCUUUUAUCUGAAUGGAAUUCAGGUUGCCCGAUUAAGUUCUUGCUGUGAAUAUAAGCAUCGGAAAGGUACUCGGCUAGGAGGCAAGCGUGGAUACUUUGGUUUCGUCAACGUGGAAAGAUCAUCUCCUUGCUAUAGAUGUAUCAUUACAAUGGGCCUGGACAGAAAGCCUACACCUCCAAAAAAGAAGACUCUUGAAGAAAGCGCAAAGCUGGAAGAUUGGAAGAAAGAGGAAGUGACACAAAAGCUGAAAGAGGAAAAAAAAGUAUUACCGGCCCACUUUCCUUCGGCUUCUGCAUUAAAGAAACGAGCUGCAGAACAUGCUGAAGAAAAGAAAUUGGACACCAAAAAAGGAGAAAAAGAUAAAGAUGAAUUUGAGGAUACCCAGAAAACUGCUACUUAUGAAGCAUAUGAGGAAGAUUUUGAAGCUGAGGAAGAGAAACCAGUUGAGAAAGUUGAGAUAAAAGCACGUGCUGAUGAUCAAAUGAGUGAAAAAGGGAAACCAGUCUCCGAAGGAGAAACAGACCAUUCUGACCGUGAAAGGAAGAAAAAAGUCUCAUCACUGAAAUCUUCACGGACUUCUGAAAGUGAGCGAGAUGAAAGUGAGGGAUAUACGGAAAGCUACACAGAGGAAGAGGAGAGAAAACGUGGUAGAAAAAAAGUGCUUUCCAUCUCUGGCAGCAGCACCUUAUACAGCAGCGGAACCGAAUCUGAGUUUGAAGGCAGGAAGCGGGAUGAGGAGGAAGACAUUACAGACAUUCAUUCAGAAUAUGAAACAGAAACCACCAAAUCUCAACGGGAAGGAAGUCAGGGAACUGAUGUGGAAGAAGAGGAAAACUUGGGGGAAACAGAAACAGAAAGCUUGAGCACCAAGAAUGUGCCAGAUAUCUUCUAUGAAGAAAAAGUGGAGAUGACCCUGCAGGACAUUAGUCCGGGCCAUGAAAAGCCCAAGCUUAUAGGGCUGGUAGACAUGGGGGAGGAGGAAGAUAAGUUAGUGCAUUUGAAAAGCAGUGCUCUAGAAGGAUAUCCGAGCAGGAAGAUUUCUGAAGAUAAGGAAGGUGAUCGCAAAUCGGUCAGAGAGAAAAUAGCUGAGGCUAUUGAAAAAGAUCAGCUUUUGAGUUCUGAACCUGAACCUAGUGAUUACAGUACAGAGGAUGAGGAAGAACAAAUAGCUCAAGCGCCAGAUGGAGUUUCCUUGGCAAAACGCUCAAGAAGAAGUGAAUCGCAAAAGGCUGCAGAGCAAUUGAUAAGGGAGCGAGAGAUGACGCGCAAGGAAGGAAUACUUGAGAAAGAGGAGCUUGGUAAAGAUCCCAAAGAAGCAGCUCUAACAGAAGAGCUGCUAGCCCACCAAAGACCAAGUCUUAGAGGAGACCAGGCACUAAAACCUGAACUUGUGACAAGAAAAAGAGAAUGGGAAAGAGAAUCCAUAGAAUCAGAACUGGCCAGUUUAGAAAAAGAAAUAACCCCCAAGGAUGGAAAAAUUGAGAGCAUGGCAAAAGCAGAAGAAAUGGCAAGAGACAGAGAAAGAUUUCUAGGGGGAUCCAGAUCAGAAGAGGAGGAAGCUGAAGGCGCUCAAGUUAGUGAGGAGUUAAGAGCAGCAAAGAGAGAACAGGUGCGACGGCAAAUCGCUGAGGGAAAAGAAGACGUAGAAGUGACUGAGGCACCAAAAGCUUUAAAGACAAGAGAAUUAGAAGGAAUUAAGGCAGUGGACAGAGACAUGCUUGAAGCAAAAGAAAAGAUGAAAGGAGAAUAUAAGACAGCUAAAGAUUGGGAGGCAACAUUUGCAGAAAAGAUCCGUAUGGGAGAGGUACCAGAAAAGGUGGAAGAAGCUGAACCCAAAGAGAAGGUCACUUUUCAAGAAAAAAACCAUAAAGCAGAGGCCGAAAGAAAAGCUGGCAUAAUGGAAAAGGAAAGAAAGGAUGAGGCAUUUUUGAGGGAAGAUGAAGAGGGAAAAUAUGAAUUGAGGCCUAUUUCCCCUAUGGAAGCAGGACUUAGACCACCACAAUUAAAAAUGAAGGAUGAAGAUGAAACAGCAGCUGCUGCAGAAAAGGCAAACACUGGUGGAAGAGAGGUUCCAUCUGAGAUGGCAGAAACAGUCCAAGACAUUUCAUCCAGAUGGGAUGAAGAUUUAUACCAAGAAUAUCCAGAUGUUACUGGGAUGAAAGCCAUAUCUACAGAAGAUUUAACCUUCAAGAAAAUAAAGCCUUUGGUGGGUGAGGCCUUCCUCGACCAUGAAAUUGAAAUAACUGAGGAGGACAAGUUAGCAGGCAAACCAUAUUCUGAAAGAGAGAAAGACAGACAAGAAAGAGCAAAAGAUAUUUUAGCAUUUGAACAAACAGCCCAAGGAGAAAAGGCUAUAGUACAACCUGUAGAAAGAGGAGUUGAAGAAAGAGGAAAAGAAGAGAGGCUAAAGUCCAAAAUGGCAGCUCCAGAAGAGAAACUGGACUUGGAGAAAGAAGGGCUUUAUAUUGAACCUGACUUAGAAUCUAUGGCAGGAUUGAUGGAAGAAUUAGCGGAGAAGGAAAAGGCAAAAGGAAAGAUGUGGGUUGAAGAGGCAGAAGGAGAAAUAAAAGGAUUGUCUCCAAGACAGAAAAUGAUUGAGGAAGAACAGAAAGCACUGAGAAGAAAGGCAGAAAUUGAAGAGGGAGGCACUGAGAUGGCACUUAAAGGAGAGGCAGAAAUAGUUGAGACAGAAGUUAAAACUAAAGGGAAAGUAGAAAAAGGAGAGGUAGGAAAGAAAAUGGAAUAUCCAUGGGAAUCAGAAGGAGACAUGGCACUUAAAAGGGAGACAGCAACUGGAGAGGCUAAAGUUGAUGUGGGACGUGAGGGGCAGUUAGAAGUCACAGAGGCAGAAGCUGACAUGACACUUAAAGGGGAGGCAGAAAGAAGACACACUAAAGCUACAUUGCUACCCAAAGACAGGUUAGAUGCUGAAGAAGCAAAAGCUGACAUAACACUUAAAGAGGAGGAAGAAACUGGACGUGUCAAAGCUAAAGUGGGACCUAAAGGGGAAUUAUAUCCUGAAGAAGCAGAAGCUGAGAUGAUACUUGAAAGAGAGGCAGAAACUGGACGUGUCAAAGUUAAGGUGGGACAUAAAGGAGGGUUAUAUCCUGAAGAAGCAGAAGCUGAGAUGGCACGUAAAGAAGAAGCAGAGCCUGGACGUGUCAAAGCUAAGGUGGGACCUAAAGGAGGGUUAUAUGCUGAAGAAGAAGCUGAGAUGGCAUUUGAAAGAGAAGCAGAACCUGGACGUGUCAAAGCUAAGGUGGAACCUAAAGGGGAGUUAUAUGCUGAAGAAGAAGAAGACGCUGAGAUGGCACUUGAAAGAGAAGCAGAACCUGGACGUGUCAAAGCUAGGGUGGAACCUAAAGGGGAGUUAUAUGCUGAAGAAGAAGAAGCUGAGAUGGCACUUGAAAGAGAAGCAGAACCUGGACGUGUCAAAGCUAAGGUAGAACCUAAAGGGGAGUUAUAUCCUGAAGAAGACGAAGAAGCUGAGAUGGCACUUGAAAGAGAAGCAGAGCCUGGACUUAUCAAAGCUAAAGUGAGACCUAAAGGGGAGUUAUAUGCUGUAGAAGAAGAAGCUGAGAUGAUACUUGAAAGAGAGGCAGAAACUGGACNNNNNNNNNNACUUGAAAGAGAGGCAGAAACUGGACGUGUCAAAGUUAAGGUGGGACUUAAAGGGGACUUAUAUCCUGAAGAAGCAGAAGCUGAGAUGAUACUUGAAAGAGAGGCAGAAACUGAACGCGUCAAAGUUAAGUUGGUACCUAAAGGAGGGUUAUAUCCUGAAGAAGCAGAAGCUGAGAUGGCACGUAAAGGAGAAGCAGAGCCUGGACGUGUCAAAGCUAAGGUGGGACCUAAAGGAGGGUUAUAUCCUGAAGAAGCAGAAGCUGAGAUGGCACGUAAAGGAGAAGCAGAGCCUGGGCAUGUCAAAGAUAAGAUGGGACCUAAAGGAGGGUUAUAUCCUGAAGAAGCAGAAGCUGAGAUGGCACUUGAAAGAGGAGCAGAGCCUGGACGUGUCAAAGUUAAGGUGGGACCAGAAGGGGAGUUAUAUGCUGAAGAAGCAGAACCUGAGAUGGCACUUGAAAGAGAGGCAGAAACUGGACGUGUGAAAGAUAAGAUGGGACCUAAAGAAUGGUUAUAUCCUGAAGACGAAGAAGCUGAGAUCACACUUGAAAAAGAAGCAGAGCCUGGACUUGUCAAAGCUAAAGUGGAACCUAAAGGGGNNNNNNNNNNAGAAGCAGAAGCUGAGAUGGCACUUGAAAGAGAAGCAGAGCCUGGACGUGUAAAAGUUAAGGUGGGACUAGAAGGGGAGUUAUAUGCUGAAGAAGCAGAACCUGAGAUGGCACUUGAAAGAGAGGCAGAAACUGGACGUGUGAAAGCUAAGGUGGUACCUGAAGGGGAGUUAUAUGCUGUACAAGCAGAAGCUGAGGUGACGUUUAAAAGUGAAGCAGAAACUGGACGUGUCAAAGCUAAGGUGAUACCUAAAGGAGACUUAUAUGCUGAAGAAGCAGAAGCUGAGGUGACACUUGAAAGAGAGGCCG